AGUGAACGCUGGCGGCAGGCCUAAUACAUGCAAGUCGAACGGCAGCACAGCAGAGCUUGCUCUGUGGGUGGCGAGUGGCGGACGGGUGAGGAAUACAUGGGAAUCUGCCCAGUCGUGGGGGAUAACGUAGGGAAACUUACGCUAAUACCGCAUGCGCCCUUCGGGGGAAAGCCGGGGACCUUCGGGCCUGGCGCGAUUGGAUGAGCCCAUGUCGGAUUAGCUAGUUGGCGGGGUAAUGGCCCACCAAGGCGACGAUCCGUAGCUGGUCUGAGAGGAUGAUCAGCCACACUGGAACUGAGACACGGUCCAGACUCCUACGGGAGGCAGCAGUAGGGAAUAUUGGACAAUGGGCGCAAGCCUGAUCCAGCCAUGCCGCGUGAGUGAAGAAGGCCCUCGGGUUGUAAAGCUCUUUUGUCCGGAAAGAAAAGCAUCCAGUUAAUACCUGGGUGUCCUGACGGUACCGGAAGAAUAAGCACCGGCUAACUUCGUGCCAGCCGCCGCCGUAACAC
rnacentral:rRNA from 1 species